rnacentral:rRNA from 1 species
GUCUCAGUUCGGAUUGGAGUCUGCAACCCGACUCCAUGAAGCUGGAUUCGCUAGUAAUCGCGCAUCAGCCACGGCGCGGUGAAUACGUUCCCGGGCCUUGUACACGCCGCCCGUCAAGCCAUGGAAGCCGGGAGUGCCUGAAGUGCGUGACCGCAAGGAGCGUCCUAAGGCAAUACCGGUGACUGGGGCUAAGUCGUAACAAGGUAAC